rnacentral:rRNA from 1 species
GACGUAGGGCGCGAGCGUUGUCCGGAUUUAUUGGGCGUAAAGAGCUCGUAGGCUGUUCGAUAAGUCGGGUGUGAAACCUCCAGGCUCAACCUGGAGACGCCACCCGAUACUGUCAUGACUAGAGUCCGGUAGGGGAGCGUGGAAUUCCUGGUGUAGCGGUGAAAUGCGCAGAUAUCAGGAGGAACACCAGCGGCGAAGGCGGCGCUCUGGGCCGGUACUGACGCUGAGACGCGAAAGCGUGGGGAGCAAACAGG